CAGCCGCCGCGGGAAUACGGAGGGUGCAAGCGUUACUCGGAAUCACUGGGCGUAAAGGACGCGUAGGCGGAUUAUCAAGUCUCUUGUGAAAUCUAACGGCUUAACCGUUAAACUGCUUGGGAAACUGAUAAUCUAGAGUAAGGGAGAGGCAGAUGGAAUUCUUGGUGUAGGGGUAAAAUCCGUAGAGAUCAAGAAGAAUACCCAUUGCGAAAGCGAUCUGCUGGAACUUAACUGACGCUAAUGCGUGAAAGCGUGGGGAGCAAACAGGAUUAGAUACCCGCGUAGUCCCUGUCUCUUAUAA
rnacentral:rRNA from 1 species